GCUACUGUAACAUACAAGCUCUUAGUCUUAGCUUUCUUAACGUCCGUUUAUGCGGAUGUGAACAAGUAGAUGAGUUAUGAAUUAACAGUUGAUCAAUGCUAAAUACUGGUCAGUAGGAAAUAGAGAAUAUAAAAAGCCGAUUUCCUUGACUUUCCUUGACGAAGAUAAUUUCCAGACCUGGAUCAGUUUGAAAUAUUGAAUUUC